UAAGAAGCAGUCGCCUUCCGGUGGUAAU
rnacentral:sRNA from 1 species